rnacentral:piRNA from 1 species
UGGGAGAAAAGAUGUCCAGUAUGAGGCCU